AAUUCCCUGCUCUUUUGCUGCGCAAACUACCGACUGAGGUUCAACAAUUUUGCUGCCUAACUCGUUGUUUAAUACUCGUGAGACGUGGGGCAGUCGUCGCCCUCGAGUCCACCGACGACGACAACGAAGGGCCGCCAACCGUUGUCCCGUCCGACCGCGAGCUCUGCCAUAGCCGACCUCGAGAUCUGUCGUCCCUGGCUGAGAUUCUCCGCCGUUCCCGUGGGGGGUCCUACCCUUACACGAUCCAGCCCUAUGCCCUAUCUACCUGGAGCACCUCCACCGCCUGCCGGUCCCGUCCCGUCCAGUUGAUUUCCGGCCCUGUGGUUCUUCCUGCCCAAAUGUGCAACUGUUGCAAGAUGCAGCAAGCUGCUCCUCUACGGCCCUGCUGCUUGCCCAAAGAUCAUGACAACAAAGAGGUCAUGUUAAACUUUUUAUUGGAUCAGUUCCAGAACAGCAAGUGAAGAUGAUGGGAGUAACUUUCACAUUUACUGUAGUAUCCGCCCUUAGAUUUGUUAAUACAUGUACUCUCUGUUGCCUGUUGAUAUACUUUACAUAAUCUCAGGACUCGAAAGGCUGCUAGGUUGUACAACUAUUUGAGCUUUUAGCAUUUUCAUGAAAUAGCGUGAACAUUUAUAACUUAAAAUUCUUGUAAUGAAGGUUCAGGAGAUAAAGGGUGCAAUAAGUUUUUUGCUAAGAAAAUCUGGUGAUAAACUAUCUACAUCUUUCUUAGAAAGUCUGCUGCUGGAAAGAGUAGUGAGGAGCAGGACUUCGCCUCCUUGUGUUCAUUAGCUCAAAGGAUGUGACCCUAAUAUUUGGCCACCAGAUCCAUCAGGCCGAUGGAAGCCAAGACGAUGACCCAUGGCGAAGCUGCGGCGUACGUGGCAUCUUUGGUCGAGCCAAGUUAUAUAGUAUAAGAUUGUCUCAAAAGGAAUUAAGUUCGUUGACUAGCGAUAAUAAAGAUACUUGAUCCUUUUUCCAGAUCACUAUGAUAUCUCUUUCAGAUUUCUAUGUGUAUUGUAUUAUGUUUACACCGGAGCUUGAGGGACAACAUUCAGUUAGUAUUAUUAUGUAUAUAUCAUGUAUCUAUUGUGCUAUAAAAUUAUGCUUGCGUAAUUUGACUUUAAAAAAAUGUUUUCUUACA